AAUGGAUUCAAACUGCACAAAAUUAGACUCUGUGAUUCUAUAAAUACCUCAAUCCUUCGUUCUUCUCUUCGCAUCAUCCAUCGAAUCAAGAGAAGAAAUUAAACACACGAGCAAAAAGGAGACAAGAUGGCCAACAAACUCGUAGCAGUUUUUCUCAUGUGCAUUGUUGCUGCUGCAGCAAUGCACCUAACCACUGCAAACAAGGUGGAUGAUCAUUACGCAGCAUGUUUCAAUGAUUGCGAGGACAAAUGCAAGAGCGAGGGCAAUGGCUACUCCUUCUGCGAAAUGAAGUGCGACGCUGACUGUGUGGCCAAAGAGACCCUUCUCAAUUUCAAGGAUUUACACUUCAAAUGAUGAUGCUGACAAAUGGCAAGCACGCAGUGCGACGUCGGACUGGCUGAGGCUACAUACAAAAAAGCCAAAAAAAUUCACAUUAUUAUUAUUAUUAUUAUUAUUAUUAUUGGCUUUGAUGUAUUCGUACUAGCCUUGGAUGAAAAAAAAAAGAAUAAAUAAAUAAAUAGGACAUCUUGUCUACUUGAUUUUCCUUUAA